CUUGCAACCAUAAGAGGUCCAGCCUGCCCAGUGAUCUAAUUCAACGGCCGCGGUAUCCUAACCGUGCAAAGGUAGCGUAAUCACUUGUUUUCUAAAUAAAGACUAGUAUGAAAGGCAUCACGAGGACUUAACUGUCUCCUUUCUCCAAUCAGUGAACCUAAUCUUCCCGUGAAAAAGCGGGAAUCCACCUAUAAGACGAGAAGACCCUGUGGAGCUUUAAACAUAAUAACACCUGCCACCAUCUCUAACAACCCCGGUACCUCCUUCAAGCGGCACCCUGAUUAUAUGUUUUUGGUUGGGGCGACCGCGGAGAAAAACCCAUCCUCCGCAAUGAACGGGACUUCUUCCUUAAACAAUAAGUCACAACUUUACGUAUUAAAAAAUUAACAUUCCUUGACCCAAUAAAUUGAUUAAUGAAC
rnacentral:rRNA from 1 species